rnacentral:tRNA from 1 species
AGUGUAGUGGUUAGCAUGUCUGCUUUACACGCAGAAGGUCCUGGGUUCGCGCCCCGG